UUAAGCAGCCAUAUCACCCUGUAGCCCAAGACUGGUUGCCCACUGAAGCUAAGCAGGGUUGAGCCUGGUCAGUACCUGGAUGGGAGACCUCCUGGGAAAACUAGGUUGCUGCUGGAA
rnacentral:rRNA from 1 species